CCCCCCCACACACACACACGCUAAUCUGAAUAAAUAGAAUCAGAGCCCACUCCGUUAAUGUCUGAGAGCGGUGGAAGGCUCUAAUGCCCUGCCGGAGAAGGUCACUGAGGUGUCAUGGUCUUGAGAACCAGGGGUGGCUGGUGGGUGGGGCUGGGUUAUGCGGUCGGUCGUUGUCCACGCGACUGAUUUAGAAUCACCUACGAGAUAAGAUGGCUGGGGCUUGCGAGGACGCUUCCAGGGAGUCGUAACUAAAGAGGGAAAAACCCACCCUCAAUGUGGGCAGCACCCUCCUAUGGGCUGGGCGCCUGGACUGACUAUGAAGGAGCUAAACACUGGCGUUCCUCUCUGUUUCUUAAGGGAGAUGCAAAGUGACCCUCACGCUCCCAGUACCUUCCAUGUCCUGAUGACAUUCCUUCAGAGCAUGAGCCAAAGUGAACCCUUACUUCCUUGAGCUGCUAAGUAUUACAUCACGGCAAAGAGAAAUAUAACUCACAGAACUCCAUGCUCGCUAGACACGGUGGUGGGAAGAUACUUGUCAUUGGACUUAAUGCCACCUAGCAAACCAAGAUGAUUUUGACCGGGAAGACUUAAUUGCAUCUCUGAAGACCACUUCCACUCCUACUAAGGUUACUUAAUAAGUGCUGAGUCUCGCACAGAAAUUCAACCUGCAUUCAACCCACCAUAGGGGACGCAAGACAGGAUUUCUCCAUAUAGCU
rnacentral:sRNA from 1 species